ACGGGGCGUUUACGGACGCUGCAUUUCAGCCUACGAUUGCGGGACAAGACUAAACUUUUAAGCGAGCAGACAGUUAUAUUUUAGAUAACGACUCUUCUCAAACAUACAAACAGAAAUAGAACAAAAUGCGAUCUUUAGCACUUCUGCUGUUUGGGAUUCAUCUCGCCUUUGCUGGAACACACUCUCUGCAAUACUUCUGCACUACUGUAUUUAGAGACAUGAAUAUUGAAAAAUACAUAGUGGUUGGAAUAAUCGAUGAUCUGCAGUUUAUGCACUUUGACAGCGACACAAUGAAAGCUGAGCCAAAGACAGACUGGAUGAGAAAGAAUGAAGGAGCAGAUUAUUGGAACGUUAGGACUCAGACAGUCAUUGGUCACUAUCAGGAAUACAGAAACUUCAUGCAAAUCGUAAUGCAUCUAUACAACCAGUCUAUGUCAGGUGUUAACGCCUUCCAGAUGAUGUAUGGCUGUGAGCUUGAUGAUGAUGGGACCACUCGAGGAUACUUGCAGUAUGGUUAUAAUAGAGAAGACUUCAUCAGCUUUGAUAAGAACACACUCACCUGGACCGCUGCGAAUCCUCAAGCCGAUAUCCUCAAGAACCAAUGGGAUACUGAUGGAGCUAAAACAAAAUACUGGAAAGCAUAUUUGGAAAGCACAUGCUUUGAGCGGAUGAAGAAGAUUGUUAACUAUGGCAAGGACACUCUGGAGAGAAAUGUUCCACCUGUGAUGUCUCUACUGCAGAAGAACUCCUCGUCUCCAGUAAUCUGUCAUGCUACUGGUUUCUACCCCAAAAACAUCACAAUGACCUGGAAGAAAAACCAUGAGGAUCUUAAUGAAGAUGUGGAGGUCAGUGAAACUUUGCCAAAUGCAGACGGAACGUUCCAGAAGAGCAUCAGUCUCUCAGUGAAGUCUGAGGAGUGGAAGAAGAAUCCAGAUGUCUACAGAUGUGUCAUUCAACAUGUGGGAGCAGAGAAAGACAUUGUUGUCCUUCUCAAUGAAAACAACAUCAAGUCUAACUCAGCUUCUGACAACACCAUUGUGAAAUGUUUGGUGAUCACUACUGUUGUUAUCGCUGUGUUGGCCGCUACUGUCUUUGCUGUUAAAAAGAAGCUCAUUGUGUGCAGAAAGUGCAGAGAAGUAAAUAGCUCAAAUUUAACAGGCAAUGUGAAGGACAGCACUGCAUCAGAAAUAUCAGAUGAACCACAGCAGAAUGCAAAAUGAAAAUUUUGACAGUGAUUUUAGGGUAUGAAUUUCCAAUACCAAUACAUUUUCUGUUAUUUGAACAGAUAUGUUUUAGUUGCACAUGAUAGAACACAAUGUUAGCAUCUGCUCAUUUAAAUGUUUAAAUUAUAGCCAAUUAAGACUUUUAAAAUCUACCUUUAUUGUUAAUACGCACAUUUGCUAUCUACUGGUGUUUAUAACUAGAGAUAUCGAUCAAUUUUAAAAUAAUAUCAUAUGUGAACCUGCCAGGCUAAAGUCACAGAAUCUCAUUCUGAGAUAACAAGCAUCAAAGUUUGAUUUUAACCAUUAAUUUCACUAUGUUUUCAGCCUUUGAAAUCUUAUUAAAGAUAUCUUACAGAAUGCUCUUUACACAAAUCACCAUCACUGUUAUGUGAUUAACCUAUUACUGACAGCUUGUAUGGCAAGCCGAAUUAGCUUUUAAUCAUUCUCAGGAUAUGAAUUUUUGAUAUCAACAAUUCAAUUUUUACUAGUAACAAUCGCUGUUUUUGAUAUCAGUAAUUACAUUUUCACUAGUAAAAAUGUGAAUUCUUGAUAUCAACAAUGACGUCAUCACUCGCAGAAAUGUACAUUCUUGAUAUCAAAAAUUGAAUUUCAACUAGUAAAAAACGUCAUUCUUGAUAUCUGUAAUUGCAUUUUUACUAGUUAAAUCACAAUAGGCUGCCAUUCAAAUUCAAUAUCAGAUAUCAGUAAUUCGUUUCUUACGUGUUAAAAAUCUUAUUUCAGAUAUCAGAAAUGCAAUUCUUACUAGUAAAAAACAUCAUUUUUGAUAUCAACAAUUGUGUGGUUACUAGUGGCAAUGUCUAUUCUUGAUAUCAACAAUUGAAUUACUACAUGUAAAAAUGCUAAUUUCUGAUAUCAGUAAUUACAUUUUCACUAGUGACAAUGUUAAUUCUUGAUAUCAACAAUGCGAUUGUUACUAGUAAGAAAGCCAUUUUAGAUAUCUACAAUUACUCUCAGAUUUAUUGAUAUCUGAAAUAUAUUUCCUGAUAUCAGAAAUACCAAAUGCAACAUGUUAAAAUUCAUUUACAGAUAUCAAGAAUGAGCAUUUCAACUAGUAAAAGUUGAAUUCUUGAUAUCAAAAUUGGCAUUUUUACUAGCAACAAGUUACAUUUUGAUAUCAAAAAUUAUGUUUUUUACUAGUAAGAAUUGCAUUUCUGAUAUCUGAAAUGAGGUUUUUAAUGUGUAAGAAAUGAAUUAUUGAUAUCUGUAAUUGAAUUUGAAUGGCAGCCUAUUGUGAUAUUUAACUAGUAAAAAUGCAAUUACAGAUAUCAAGAAUUGCGUUUGUUACUAGUUGAAAUAAAAUUUUUGAUAUCAAGAAUGCACAUUUCUGCCAGUGAUGAUGUCAUUGUAAUUCACAUUUUUACUAAUGAAAAUGUAAUUACUGAUAUCAAAAACAGCAAUUGUUACUAGUAGAAAUUCUAUUCUUGAUAUCAAGAAUUAUAAUUUUUACUAGUAAAAAUUGAAUUGUUGAUAUCAAAAAUUCAUAUCCUGAGAAUGAUUAAAAGCUAAUUCGGCUUGCCAUAAGCUUGUGGGGUAGCAGUUUAUAUACAGUUAAAGUGUAAAAGUUUUGCAUUAUAUUAGAAAUAUAAAGACUUACAAUGACAGAAAUGUAUUUAAAUAAUUAUAGUGUUGUUUAAAAAAUGUCUCUACAUGAUUUGUUUAGCAUAUUUAUACUGUUUUGUAUUUCAUCUUGGUGUAAUUCAUACGUAUAUGAAAAUAUUUGUUCUUUUCCAUUGAGCUUAUUUUGUUUUAUUAUUUACUAUAUUUUAUUAUAUAUCUAUUGUUUAAUCUUGAGAGCCAGUGAACUGAUCUUAACCCAGUGCUGCUGAGGCCUGGUUUCACCUGAGAUGGAUUGCUGUGGAAUUCUUUAUUAAAGCGGCCCUAACACACGCGGUUUCUGCCAAUCUCAUAUUAAUCUUAAGUACCUAUAGAGUAGUAUUGCAUACUUCGUACCUUCGAAGAGUAUUUAGUUUGAUCACAUUUAUAAAAGAUAGAUACAGCUGAACGAUUAUUUCCGAAAUCAUACGGCGCGUGCAGGGGGGGAGGGGUAGGCUGAACUAAAGCACAUUGCCAACAAAACACAGACAUCAGUUUCACUCAACGCAUGCGGUUCAUGUCCGGCAUCGUUUAGCGCUUGGACGGCUCCAUAUAUCAGUUUCAAACGAUCUUCAAAUCCAGCGUUAUAUCCACCGUUUAUAUAACAUUCAUCACCCAAAUGCAGUGAACAAACAAACACCUGAAUUUAACGAACGUAUGCUCUCUCUCUCUCCUGCACACAAGUGAAAGUGACGUAUGCGCAUGCUCCUUCUCCUGCUCUCCUUGCUGCCGCGUGGGUGUGCCGCGUGCUUUUCAGGAAGAAUUGUCCAAUAAGGGACUAAGAAAAGUUGUUACGAACAGUUUUAUAUGUUCGAAAAAAAAACUUUCCGAAACCUGUACGAUCGCUGGGGGAGUGUAUCGAGCACAGAAAUACUACGUAAUACACCCAACUCGGUUUUUGACAAGUUGACCAUGUUAAGCAUAAGAAAGCACUGUAAAGAAGUCUGAAUGCAUGACACAUCGUUGCAGCACCCCUUUUAUUAAAUACUUGGUUUGCAAGUUAUAAAGGUUAUGAAGGCUUUCCUUUUUCAAACUUACCAACAUUUUGUUUUCACCCAUAUAGGCCUAUUGAAUCGGUGAAGCUAACUUCUUACUUUGUUUCUUUACAUUAAAGUUCCAUGAUGCUGAUGUGGUUGAACAAAUAAAAAAGUAGGCUAAUCUGGGUUUAGAUUGUAAAAUAAAGUAAACUACUUCUUUGAAAUACUGAGGUAGGCUACUGCUGAGAAAUACCGUAGAUAUAAAAAAGUCUUUGCACAGGUGUAUUUCAUAACAAACAGAAGAAAUAUACGAGUAUUAUAAUGUCAAUAAUAAAUGUAUGCUGCCAUUUCCCUUAUGAAAAUUAACCAUGUUUUUUUUGUGGUACAAGUGUAGUAACCAUGGUUUUUUGGUGCAUUGAUUACUUAGGGCAAAACCAUGGUUUUACUACAGUAACCAUCGUUUACUGUGGUUUUUACAAAAAACAUGGUUUUCAAAACCAUGGUUAUUUUGUGAUAACCAUUGUUUUAAUAACGUAACCAUGUUUUUUUGUUUUGUUUUAACUGUAGUGAAACCAUGGUCAAUUUUCGUAAGGGUUGUUUUUGCUUUUGAAAGACCCAGGAAACAAUAGGAUAAAUAACAAAACAUCAGACAUAAUGUUAAAAGGGCGUAUCAGUUGUAGUACUUUUCAACAAAAGAUGAAAGAAAAUAUUCAGCUAUUCAUUCAACUCUCUAAAUUAAUCUAUUGCAUUUUGUUCAAGUAUCUGUUGUGUUGUCAUAAAUACAAAAUAAAGGUGACCAAUAAGGAAAAGCAAUUUUUGGGUCCAAUUUCAGAUUUACCUGUAGUUAGAUGUUGCGUUUGAGUUUGGGUGCUGGAAUUUGUAGGGUUAACUGGGCGUGUACACAGGUGUGCUUCUACACAUUAGACAGUCGGGCCAACAAAACAACCGAAAGUCUUUUAACCGAGCAGAAUGUAUUGUUUACCGAUAGAACUGUUGUCCAAUAUGCAACAGACAUGCGAUGUGUAGCGCUUCUGCUUAUCGGGAUUCAUCUAGCCACAGCUGGAACGCACUCUCUGUUGUACUUCUGCACUGCUGUGUAUAGAAAUAUGAGAAUUGAAAAGUACACAGUGGUUGGAACGGUGGAUAAUCAUCAACAGUUCAUGUACUUUGACAGCAA